rnacentral:rRNA from 1 species
CUGACGGUAGUCGUAUGCUCGUCUCCGAGACUAAGCCAUGCAAGGUCCAAGUACACGUCCUUGAACGACGGAAACUGCGAACGGCUCACUUAAAUCGAGUUGCGAUCUACUCGGCGUUCCGCGCCGCCGGAUAACCGUAGUAAUUCUAGGGCUAAUACGUGCGAAGCGCCCGAAGCCGCGAGGCGACGGGCGUUCUCGCCGGAUGGUAGGAACCGACCCGGGGGACCGCCGGGGCAACCCGGCGCCCCCGAGACGGGGCGAACCACGGUGAAAUGACGGAUCGUCGGCCCCGCGCCGGCGACUCGCCGAAUGAGUUUCUGACCUAUCAACUCGAGACGGCGGGGUAGAGGCCCGCCGCGGUAACGACGGGUAACGGGGAAUCAGGGUUCGAUUCCGGAGAGGGGAGCCCGAGAAACGGCUACCACUUCCAAGGAAGGCAGCAGGCGCGC